rnacentral:rRNA from 1 species
UACGUAGGGUGCGAGCGUUGUCCGGAAUUACUGGGCGUAAAGAGCUCGUAGGUGGUUUGUCGCGUUGUUCGUGAAAACUCACAACUCAAUUGUGGGCGUGCGGGCGAUACGGGCAGACUGGAGUACUGCAGGGGAGACUGGAAUUCCUGGUGUAGCGGUGGAAUGCGCAGAUAUCAGGAGGAACACCGGUGGCGAAGGCGGAUCUCUGGGCCUUACCUGACGCUCAGGCGCGAAAGCUAGGGGAGCGAACAGG